CACAAAUGAGAGAAGGAAUUUUCCCCAGGGAAGCCAUCAGAGCUCACAUCCCACCGAGCUUACAGCAAAUAGCAUCUCAGGAACCGGUGAUGCCAGGGCUGUCUGGUUUCAUACACGUCAGGUUGCUGGUGCUACGUUGCAAAACCACAGCUGACCCAUUUUUUCCCAGCAGGAGCUCCUCAGGCAUUAAAAAAGGGGAGCCAGGCAGCCAACAGAGGGAGCCCAAAUUCACGACCAACCCGCACCGAGCACAGAGCUGGGGAGCUGGAUGCACUGUAACCAGCCCAUAGGGCUCCAAGCAACAGCCAAAAUGCAAAGCAGGAAAACAGAGCAGCACCUCAGUAAGGAGGCAGAAGGCCAGGCUGGAAAGAAACUAUGCAAAACAAGGAGACAGAAUAAGAGUUUAUAUUUUUAAGCUCACAAAGAUGGAAAAGAUAUUGGAUGAGAUACACAGGCAAAUAUGGACGCACGUGUUUUUUUUCAGAUAAAUUUCUGGCUGCAAAGGAAGGCUGCGUACCCCUCUUCCUCCCUCGGUGAGCACAGGUGCCUGUUUGCAUCUGAUGAGGCAAGUUGCAUCGAGCAGCAACACACAAACACACGCAUGCAGCCAGAUGCUGCCUGCCUGGCCCAGACUCACGUCAAACCCAAGGCAGCUCUGUAACCACACCGACGUAAAGUGUUUUUAUGGUAGCUGUCUCUUUAUCCCAGCUAAAAACACAGCUAUGCCAUAGUUCCAUCUAAAAGGCAGAGAUGAUUUAGCGUUCACAGGCAAAGCAGGUCUGGACUUCUCGGUGUGCUGUUCUCAGAGACAACCCAGGGUCUGGGCUGCGAUGCUCAGAGCUGAGCAAACUCUGUGGAGUUUCACAGCAGCGACAGAGAGGUGCAUGUGUGCAGUGCAGGGACGCAUCCAGCUGAUCCUCCAUGCUAAAUUCAGCACCGCUGCAGCUGUGUGCCACGUCUGACCCGAGCACAAACGAGGCAGUGCUGCAAAACCAGCACCGACUGUAUCUUCAAAUUAAAAGAAAUCAGUUACUUAGUGCCUUUUUUUUUUCCUCCCAAAGUAACAGAAUUUGAAUGUAUUAUUUGAAAAUAGACAUUUUUGUUUUCCACCUCGCUGCACCUAAUGAUUGUGGUGUGAUUAUUAAACACUUCAUAAAUAAUAAUGUGACAUUUUCAGAUGGUGCGUCUGAUUAAGCAGCCAUUCUUCUCCCCCCCGACUGCGGCUGCGGACAGAUGAGAUUGCUGCAGACGUGGCAAUCUUUGCGCCUCCUUCCCUGGGGAGCGGGGAUC
rnacentral:lncRNA from 1 species